rnacentral:piRNA from 1 species
UGUUCACAUUCUAAGGAUUUCCAGGUUGU